UUUUUAAUAUCAAGUCAUAAGUAUAAUAGAUUUUUUAAUAGCACAAUCACAUGUCAAAACUUUUAUCUUACUUUCAAUGAGCAUCAGUUUUUCCUCUUUUUCAAAUUUAAAUUCUUAUAAUCUGUCAAAUCAAUAUUGAUUCAAACUAUUACAACUUGAUCAAAACUAUUGACUUUGGAAAUUUCGAGUGACUUGUUUAAUCAGAUUAAGAUUUUAAUCGGUUUUAGAUCGAGUUGCCCGAUAUUUUUUAUCGUACGCACAACCUAACAGUGCGUUAUCUUCCAUGUACAUAGAAAUAGGUACAAAAUCAAGGAUUUAUGUAUAACGAGUAAGCAAUAACUGUGCUAUCUCGCUAUGUCCAGCGACUGGCCAUUCUCAUGGGAAUACGUUCACAAAAUAACGCUUUCUCCGUCAUUCGUAUCGUGGGUCACACAAAUACUCAAAAACAAAUGUAUCUCAAAAACAUAUCACGUGGAAAGAAAAGCAGGAAUCUCCACUUUCUUUCUUUCGAGAAAAACUGGAAUGUCUUUCGGACGACCUUCCAACGUUGUAUGGACCAUAACGAGAAGAAGCUGGAUGUCAAUCCAAGGAAGGUCGCUUGAGAAGAUUGAAGCGUCGUUUUUUUGUAGAAUUUCUUGACUGAAAUUAAAACCAUCAGAGAAAGAAGGGAUAUAAUGAAAUAAAGA